rnacentral:rRNA from 1 species
CCUACGGGUGGCAGCAGUGGGGAAUAUUGGACAAUGGGGGAAACCCUGAUCCAGCAAUGCCGCGUGGGUGAUGAAGGCCUUCGGGUUGUAAAGCCCUUUUGGCGGGGACGAUGAUGACGGUACCCGCAGAAUAAGCCCCGGCUAACUUCGUGCCAGCAGCCGCGGUAAUACGAAGGGGGCUAGCGUUGUUCGGAAUUACUGGGCGUAAAGGGCGCGUAGGCGGUCGUGCAAGUCAGAUGUGAAAGCCCUGGGCUCAACCCAGGAGGUGCAUUUGAUACUGCAUGGCUAGAGUGUCGGAGAGGAUGGUGGAAUUCCCAGUGUAGAGGUGAAAUUCGUAGAUAUUGGGAAGAACACCGGUGGCGAAGGCGACCAUCUGGACGACAACUGACGCUGAGGCGCGAAAGCGUGGGGAGCAAACAGGAUUAGAUACCCCAGUAGUC